UACGUAGGGUGCAAGCGUUGUCCGGAAUUAUUGGGCGUAAAGAGCUCGUAGGCGGUUUGUCGCGUCUUGCUGUGAAAACUCAGGGCUUAACCCUGAGCCUGCAGUGGGUACGGGCAGACUAGAGUGUGGUAGGGGAGACUGGAAUUCCUGGUGUAGCGGUGGAAUGCGCAGAUAUCAGGAGGAACACCGAUGGCGAAGGCAGGUCUCUGGGCCAUUACUGACACU
rnacentral:rRNA from 1 species